AAAAUCACGUUAAGGGUAUAUGGUGGAUGCCUCGACAUAAGAAGACGAUGAAGGACGUAGCAGCCUGCGAUAAGUCUCGGUGAGGUGGCAAGCAACCUGUGACCCGGGAAUCUCCGAAUGGGGAAACCUUUCCGCUUGAAGAGCGGAAGUCCGUUAUCUGAACACAUAAGAUAAUGAGACGAAUACCCGGUGAAUUGAAACAUCUUAGUAGCCGGAGGAAAAGAAAAAACUUCCUGCAGCAAUGCGGGAAAACAUUCCCUUAGUAGUGGCGAGCGAAAGGGGAGAAGUCUAAACCGUUUAAACUGCGCAUGGAAUUCUGAGCAAUCAGAAAGAAAUGCAGAAGGAUCUAGGUCCAUAUGUUUAGAUGGGGUUGUAAGAUCGUUGCAUUUAUUUCCUAGAUAAAUGAGGUAGGGCAUACGAAGAAUAACUUUCCUAGUUGAAGCGAGCUGGAAAGCUCCGCCAGAGAAGGUGAUAGCCCUGUAAGGCGAAAGGAGUUAUUACUCUACUGCAGCAUUCUUAAGUACUGCGGGACUCGUGAAAUCCCGUGGGAAUCUGGGUCGACUAUGAUCCAAGACUAAAUACUUCUUAUGAUCGAUAGCGAACAAGUACCGUGAGGGAAAGGUGAAAAGCAUCCCGGUUAGGGAGGUGAAAUAGUAUCUGAAACCAUAUACUUACAAGGAGUCGGAGCCCCACACCAUUUGGGGUUUAAUCAUAAGCUGAAGAUGAAAGCUUGUGCCAAAUGGUGUGGGGUGACGGCGUGCCUAUUGAAGAAUGAGCCAACGAGUUUGUUCUAUGUGGCUUAGCUAAAUUCCGCUUGGAAUGGAGCUACAGUGAAAGCGAGGGUUAAUAGCCCGUUUCCAUCUAUUUUGCAGGGACAAAAGCUUUCUGUUUCUGCAAAAUAUUUGGAUUGUCGCAUGGACAAGACCCGAAGCCGGGUGAUCUAAUCAUGGCCAGGUUGAAGUGGCGAGAAAUCGUCAUGGAGGACCGAACCCACUAGCCGUUCAACACUAGGGGAUGAGUUGUGAUUAGCGGAGAAAUUCCAAUCGAACUCGGCAAUAGCUGGUUCUCCUCGAAAUAGCUUUUGGGCUAGCGUCGGAUGCUGACUACUGGGGGUAGAGCACUGAAUGAGGUUGAGGCCGCAAGGUACUCUCCUUAACCAAACUCCGAAUACCAGUAGGUGAAAUCCGGCAGUCAGACUACGGGGGCUAAGCUUCGUCAGUCAAAAGGGAAACAGCCCACAUCGCAGUUUAAGGUCCCUAAAUAUAUGCUAAGUGUAAAAGGUGGUGUCGCGACCGCGACAACUAGGAGGUUGGCUUAGAAGCAGCCAUCCUUUAAAGAUAGCGUAAUAGCUCACUAGUCAAGUUGUCUCGCGCCGAAAAUUUAUCGGGGCUAAGCAUAUUACCGAAGACGCGAAUUCUGUGUCUCACUAACGUUCGACACAAAAAUUUAAAAUGCAAAAAUCAAAAUUCAAAAUUAUUGUGUCGCUGCGCGACAGAUUUAUUUAAAAAUAUUUUAAUUAAAUCUUGAGCAAAGCGAAUACCAAAAUUUUGCAUUUUGCAUUUUGAUUUUUGAAUUAUGUGACGAGCGGUAGCGAGACACAGAGUGGUAGAGGAGCAUUCUAUGUGCGUUGAAGCCGAACUGUGAGGUUUGGUGGAGUGCAUAGAAGAGAGAAUGUUGGCAUAAGUAGCAAAAAGGCGGGUUAAAACCCCGCCCACCGUAAGCCUAAGGUUUCCUGGGCAACGCAAAUCGUCCCAGGGUUAGUCGGUCCUAAGGUGAGGUCUGUGUAGUGCAGACGUAGUCGAUGGAUGAGCUGGUUAAUAUUCCAGCACUACUGUAGUUUUCCGAUGGGGGGACGCAGUUUUAAAGUUUGAGCGUGCUAUGGUAUGUACGUAGUUGGCUUCUUGGCAUGAUCCAGGUAAAUCCGGAUCGCCAAUGUCGAGAGGUUGACUGAAGAUGAAGUCUUUGAUGGAAUCAACUCAAGUGGCGAAACUGUCUAGAAAAACCUCUAGGGUUAAGACUAUAGUAACCGUACCGUAAACCGACACAGGUAGGCGAGGCGAGUAGCCUCAGGUGAACGAGAGAAUCUUCGUUAAGGAACUCGGCAAAACAGCGGUCGUAAGUUAGCGAUAAGACCCGCCCUACGCAAGUAGGGCCGCAGCUAAAGAUCCCAAGCAACUGUUUAUCAAAAACACAGCUCCCUGCGAACUCGUAAGAGGAUGUAUAGGGGGUGACGCCUGGCCAGUGUCCGAACGUUAAGAGGAGAGGUUAGUCGCAAGACAAAGCCUUGAAUUUAAGCGCGGAUGAACGCCGGCCGUAACUAUAACGGUCCUAAGGUAGCGAAAUUCCUUGUCGGGUAAGUUCCGACCUGCACGAAUGGCGUAAU
rnacentral:rRNA from 1 species